GCCGGCAGCUAUCUCUUUGCAACUCUCACAUGGUUGCCCACUGAAGCUAAGCAGAGCUGUGCCCGGUCAGUACCUAGAUGGGAGACCACAUAGGAAAGCCAGGUUGCUGCCGGAA
ensembl:rRNA 5S_rRNA 5S ribosomal RNA